rnacentral:misc_RNA from 1 species
AAGCGUUGAGCCUGCGCCUCCGGGCGCCGGCGAAACCCCACCCGUGACUACUACACCACAUGUUGCUUUGGCGGGCCCGCCGCUGGCCGCCGGGGAUCUCCCUGGCCCGCGCCCGCCAAAGAUACACUGAACCCUCUGUGAAAUUGGACGUCUGAGUUGAUGAUCAAUCAUUA